AGUGAGUUCAAGCCCAGUACUGGCACAAAAAGAAAAAAAAAGGAAUCUGAGCCUAGCCUGAACAUCAUAAUGAGUUCCUGGCUAGUCUGGGUUGCAUAGGAAAGGCAGAAGUGUGUUACUCAGAACCUCUAGCUCGUCUUCAAAGGCUUUUCAGCAACUUUUUUUUUUUUUUUUUUGGUACCGACAUUGGGGCUUGAACAGGGGACUUGGGACAGUUCUCAUUUGUCUUUUUGGAUCAUGGCUGGUACUAAACCACUUGAGACAUAUCUGUAGUCCAGCUUCUUUUUCCCUGGCAAUUGAAGCACCCACCAAUACUGACAUUUAUUGCAGAAAAGUCAGAAUCAACUCCCAUCAAGCAAAUGGAUUCCUGUCAUCAUUUCCUAUUUGACACAAGUCUGUGGAUCCCAGCCAGAAAGUUCUUGGUCUUGUUCAAGAAAGAAUUCAAGGACACAGAGGAAGAAGCUUAUUAAUGCUAAGUCAAAGCUGAGCAGAAAUGCUCUCUCUG